rnacentral:rRNA from 1 species
UACGUAGGAGGCGAGCGUUGUCCGGAGUUACUGGGCGUAAAGGGUGCGCAGGCGGAUCGUUAAGUCGGGGGUGAAAUCCUGGAGCUCAACUCCAGAACUGCCUUCGAUACUGGCGAUCUCGAGUCCGGAAGAGGUGAGUGGAACUCCUAGUGUAGAGGUGAAAUUCGUAGAUAUUCGCAAGAACACCAGUGGCGAAGGCGGCUCACUGGCCCGAUACUGACGCUGAGGCACGAAAGCGUGGGGAGCAAACAGG